rnacentral:lncRNA from 7 species
AAACGAUUGCUGCAGCUCGGGGGAGAGGCGGCUCAGUGCAGUUUUGCAGCAAAAGGCCUGGGGGAAGGACCAGGGAGAUGCCUCGCAUCCCAUUCCCGCAGAUACACACUUCAUGCGAAAUCCAGCAGUGAGGUCAGCGCGGCGUGUUCUGCACCCGCAGCUCGUCAGCGUUCAGACAGCAGAACGGUGCGGUUGUGAAGCAGCAACCGGAUGGAGAAAGAGAUCUUAUUCAAGUGGAUAAGCCAUGUGGCCAGCUUGCGGGGGCAUUCAGAGACAGUUGGCAAGAUAAGAUGCUUCAGGAGAGAUGCAGAACUCCGUGUGCAGUCUCUAUGAGGGAAUGCAGAAUGGCAGCAGCUCAGCGAGUGAAUAUAAAGGCCAUAUAAGGGAAGUAAAUGGACUGCUGUAGAGAUGCCAUUAGCAAAGCAAACACUGACUUGGGGACCUUGGCAUACACCAUGGAGGAGAUAAAUUGCAUGAAUAAAUGCAUACUUGUUUCCUUCUCCCUAGAUUUACAGAGUCAGAUGUAACCUAGAAACUGUUUACAUGUGUGAAACAGAAGUUUUUCUGUAGUCAUUUUAACGCCAAGCAAUUUCUACCCCUGUCUAAUCCCGGUGCUCUUAAUUUAAACGCAUCUAUCGUUGUUUCAUUGUAACCAAGGCCUUGGGCUAAUGAAACAACACCAAACUGGUUCUUUAAGCAAUUGCAGUUUACGACUGUACUCUCUCCUUCUCUCUCUUCAUGCCAAGAGCGCAGUUCCCAUGGUGGUAAAAGGGAAGCAGGAGGUGAAACACCCGAGUCAGGCUCUGGCUGGAGGCACCAGAACGGUCAGCAUGCAGCCACUCGCAGAAGCAGUGCUGAGCACUGGGGCAUUUUGCGGUGGAGGCUUGGAACCGUGCAGAGGUGGUGUGAGUGCUAGGAAGGCAUGCUGCAGAGCAGGCUCCAGUUCUCACACCUGGGACAGUCACCCACCCUAUGGGCACAGCCACGUUCAUGUUCUGGCGUGGCUCACUUUCAGGAUGAGUCUCCAGGUCAUCCUUUGCUCAGCCACGUUUUGUUUUACCCAGCAGGGAAGAGUGCACAGGGUGGAUGCUAUGCAGGUGGCACUGGACAAGAAGACAAGGCUUUAGAAGGGCAUCUAAUGGGUCUUGAGUGCUAGAGACCUAGGCUAGAGCAAAGCUAAAGAAAACCAUGUGGAAGCACAUGGAUAUCCAUCAGGUCUUCGGCACCAACAGAUUUGCAGGAGGGUAGAAUAAGAUGAUCUUCAAGGUCCCUUCCAGCCCUAACCAUUCUGUGGUUCUGUGACUGGGUCAGGCUGAUCUCUCACACUCGCUAACACAGACACGGCCUUUGUGGGUGCAGCUGGGCGGCUGUGGUUGUUUUGGGGGUAUGCCUUUAUUGUCUUCCUUGCAGAGCACAUCACUGCACACACCUUCUAGCACCAAAGCUGGAUUUCACGCAAUCACAGAAGUGUAGGGGUUGGAAGGGACCUCUGGAGAUCACGGAGUUCAACCCCCUGCUAAAGCAGGCUCCCUACAGCAGGCUGCAUCCAGAACAGAAUCACAGAAUAUUUCACCUUCUUUUAUUUGAAGCACUUUUCCUUCAGGAAUAGGCUUGAAACGAUAGGAUGGAGAACUAGAUUUUGCUGGACAAUUCUCAAUCCAUUUGUUAUCCUUUGAGAAAAUAUACAUUUCCACUCAUGUUCUGAUUUUAAGACUUCACAUUACAGAGCAAAAAUAGUCUUCUUCCAUCCAAUAAAGUGGCUUUGUAAU